rnacentral:rRNA from 1 species
CGCCUAACACAUGCAAGUCGAACGAAGUAGCAAUACUUAGUGGCGAACGGGUGAGUAUAAUGUGGGUAUCUGCCUUUUGGUUUGGAAUAACACGGGGAAACUUGUGCUAAUACCGGAUAAGCCUUCACAGGGAAAGUUUUAACGCCAAAAGAUGAGCCCGCACUUGAUUAGCUAGUUGGUAAGGUAAAAGCUUACCAAGGCUACGAUCAAUAGCUGAUCUGAGAGGAUGAUCAGCCACAUUGGGACUGAGACACGGCCCAAACUCCUACGGGAGGCAGCAGUGGGGAAUCUUGCACAAUGGGGGAAACCCUGAUGCAGCGAUGCCGCGUGAGUGAAGAAGGCCUUUGGGUUGUAAAGCUCUUUCGUCGGGGAAGAAAAUGACUGUACCCGAAUAAGAAGGUCCGGCUAACUUCGUGCCAGCAGCCGCGGUAAUACGAAGGGACCUAGCGUAGUUCGGAAUUACUGGGCUUAAAGAGCUCGUAGGUGGUUAGAAAAGUUGGUGGUGAAAUCCCAAGGCUUAACCUUGGAACUGCCAUCAAAACUUUUUAACUAGAGUAUGAUAGAGGAAAGUGGAAUUUCUAGUGUAGAGGUGAAAUUCGUAGAUAUUAGAAAGAACACCAAUUGCGAAGGCAACUUUCUGGAUCAUUACUGACACUGAGGAGCGAAAGCAUGGGUAGCGAAGAGGAUUAGAUACCCUCGUAGUCCAUGCUGUAAACGAUGUGUGCUAGACGUUGGAAAUUUAUUUUCAGUGUCGCAGCAAAAGCGUUAAGCACACCGCCUGGGGAGUAC